rnacentral:rRNA from 1 species
UACGUAGGGUGCGAGCGUUAAUCGGAAUUACUGGGCGUAAAGCGUGCGCAGGCGGCUAUUUAAGCUUGCUGUGAAAGCCCCGGGCUUAACCUGGGAACUGCAGUGAGGACUGGAUGGCUGGAGUGUGGCAGAGGGGGGUGGAAUUCCACGUGUAGCAGUGAAAUGCGUAGAUAUCGGGAGGAACACCGGUGGCGAAGGCGGCGACCUGGGUCGAGACUGACGCUGAGGCGCGAAAGCGUGGGGAGCAAACAGG